UACGUAGGGUGCGAGCGUUAAUCGGAAUUACUGGGCGUAAAGCGUGCGUAGGCGGUUGUUUUAAGUUUGGUGUGAAAUCUCCCGGCUCAACUGGGAGGGUGCGCCGAAUACUGAAUGACUAGAGUGCGGGAGAGGAGAGUGGAAUUCCUGGUGUAGCGGUGAAAUGCGUAGAUAUCAGGAGGAACACCGGUGGUGUAGACGGCUCUCUGGGCCGUAACUGACGCUGAGGAGCGAAAGCGUGGGGAGCGAACGGG
rnacentral:rRNA from 1 species